AUGGACCCUCUAGAGGCGUGUGCGUUCUGGUGCAGAUGCCCUGGGCAUCUAGGGGGCAGAGCCAAGCCUUCUUCUCAGGUGCCUGAGGUGCCCACAUGGGAGAUGCUGCUGUCCCUACAGGGAUACCUGGGGACUGUGGUCAGGGAGGAGCCAGCCUCCUCCUCCUCAGGACCGACUGGGGAAGCUGUUGCUUCAGGACCCCCGAGGCUGCCUGAGGAAAGGUUUGUUCGGGGUAGAUCGGGGAAAAAGAAGGGAGAAACCCUGAGAGCAGCACGGAGAGCCCCAGGGAGACACGCAUCCCACUACUUGCUUUUUUUGUGUUCCAGUGGCACGUUUUUCUUAGUGUCAAAGUACUUGAAAAAUACUGAAGAACAGAUAGAUGUGAGUUUUCACAGUAUUUUAAGCGUUAAUAGUGUACUUUGUCUGUUAAAAGAAGAAUUUUAGGCAAAAUAAAUUUAAACUUUAUUUGAGCAAGGGAACGAUGCAUGAAUUGUUCACGAAACACCGGAACGGAAAUCGGGGCUUGGGGCUGCAAGCUCUUAGCGGUGGCAGCUAAGUGAGGUUCCUCAUUGGCUCCUGCUAGGCAACUGCCUGUUGUGGGGAUGGUUCCCUCAGCGUCCCUAGUCAUACAGCCAGCUGGCGGCUGGGCUUUUUGUUAUUGACUGUGGUUGGUUUGUUAAUUUUUUAAGUCAGUUUAAAUGCCUCCAAGUUCGGUUUCCAUUUGCUCAGAGAAAACCUCAGGCUAACUGCCUCCCUUUAUUUGCUUUAACAUGUCAAAACCAUAAUUCAUUUUCAUUUUACUUUCCUGGCAUUAAUAGAAGUAAAUUCACAUUUUUGUUAUUCAGAAAGUUGGCUUAAUUGGCAAUCUAUUUGUAAUGUGCAUAAAAUAAUGGCUUUUAAUCAUUGGCAUCUUACAUUAGAUGAAAUAUAUUAACUCUAUUAAGCUUUGUUAUUAAACCAUAACAGGAGUUGAGUUUCUUUUUUUUCUCCUAGGCUUUAAGCAUUUAAAAUAUACUCAGACGUCUCCUGACGAUGUGGAUACUUUCUGAGACAUUUGUCCUUAGCGGUUUCAUCUUUGUACAAAUACAGUAGAGUGUCCUUACGAAACCUAGAUCGUGUAGCCCACUCCACACGUAAGUUCUAUGGUAUAACCUAUUGCUCCCAGGCUGCACACCUGUAUAGGAUGUGUCUGUACUAAAUGCUGUAGUCAACUGUCACACCAUGGUGAUUGUGGAUUGUGAUCCCAAAAUACCUGAGACAGGUCUCAGUCAAUUUAGAAAACUUUUUUUGCCAAGGUUUAACCCAUGAUACCUCCUUAGGAGGUCCUGAUGACAUGUGCCCAAGGUGGUCAGGAAAGAGCCUGCUUUUAUACGUUUUAGGGAGACAUGAGACACCAAUCAAUAUUUGUAAGAUGUGUAGGUCCAGUAAGGCGGGAUGACUGGAAGCAGGAAGUGAGGGUGCUUCCAGGUCAGAAGUAGAUAAGAGACAAAAGGUUGCAUUUUUUUGAAUCCUUGAUCAGCCUUCCACUGAAUACACAAUUUAGUCUUGCUCAGUGAAUCUGCAUUUUUACAUAAACAAUAGUGCAGAGGAAUGGCACGAUCUCGGCCAACAACAACCUCCGCCUCCCGUGUUCAAGCAACUCUUCUGCUUCAGUCUCUUGAGCACCUGGGAUUACAUGCAUGCACCACUAUGCCGGGCCAGUUUUUGUACUUUUAGUAGAGAUGGGGUUUCUCCGUGUUGGUCAGGCUGGUCUCGACCUCCUGACCUCAGGUGAUCUUCCCUCCUCCGCCUCCCAAAGUGCUGAGAUUACAGGCAUGAGCCACUGUGCUUGACCAGGAAGCGUAUUUUGAUUCUGAUAUUGUCAACUGUAUUUCAGGCAUAACUUAUUUUCCUCAGAGCAUUAAAUACUGCUUUGGUAUUUUAUUACACAACUAAAGCACAGAUCCCUUUUUAUUAUCUUCAUUACUAGCUAUACUGGUAUCUAAAUUUAGAAACACUCCAGAGUCUGGGCUUCCAGUAAGUCUUUGUGAUCCUCUAAAAGGUAAAUUAUUUUUUCCAGCAAGACACAGUGACAUCUAAAGUUACAUUGAAUGUCUUGCCAGUGUUGUUUCUCUAGUUUCAUCAAUUUCUGCAAAGCAUCGUUGAGGGAGUAACUGACUAUCCCUUUAAACACCUCUGUAUUAAAAAGCAUCAUGAUGAAGCAUUGAAUGUGGUCACAAAAUCUGCUUGCAGUCUUCCUGUCUUUGAAUAUUUUUUCAAUUGACAAAUAUUUGCUUCUGUUGUAUUGUAAUUAGAAGGAAUCCUCUGCUAGGAAACAAAGACAAGCAUUCAUUAGAAUAAGUGAUCCAGUCACAGUGAAUCCAGUUGCUAUUUGAAUUUUUUUUUUUACAAAGUUAUACUUUUGAAAAUGUCCAGCUCUAAAUUGAAAUAGUCUCCUAAAGAGUGAACCACAGCACAAGAAAAGAUAUAUGAUAAAUAUGUUUACAUGUAUUUGUUAUUUUAACAUAAAACAUGUAAAAGAGGCAUUUCCUUGAAAUUAUAUAUUAAUUUGUAUAAUUUACUUUGCAGCAUCAUGAAUGCUUUUAUUUUAAAAAUGAGUAGUGUCAAUUACUGCUGAUUAUUAGUACAAAUAAUUUAGCAGAUAUUUGAGAAAAUAUACAACUUUUUAGUAAAGGGUUUAUUUUAAAUUAGUUUUAGAUUCACAAUGAAAUCUAAAAUGAGAAGAAAAUGUAGAUUUCCUAUCGCGACCCAACCUAGUUUCCCCUCAUAUUAACAUAUCAACAUGUAACAGAUAUGUUAUUAACAUCUUUUUUUUUUUUUUUUUGAGACGGAGUUUCGCUCUUGUUACCCAGGCUGGAGUGCAAUGGCGCGAUCUCGGCUCACCGCAACCUCCACCUCCUGGGUUCAGGCAAUUCUCCUGCCUCAGCCUCCUGAGUAGCUGGGAUUACAGGCACGCGCCACCGUGCCCAGCUAACAUCUUUUUGUUUUGAGAUGGUGUCUUGCUCUGUCACCCAGGUUGGAGUGCAAUGGCGGCACGAUCUUGGCUCAGUGCAACCUACACCUCCUGUGUUUAAGUGAUUUUCCUGCUUCAGGCUCCCAAGUAGCUGGGAUUACAGGCACCACCACCACGCUUGGCUAUUUUUUUGUAUUUUUAGUAGAGAUGGGAUUUCGCCAUGUUUGCCAGGCUGAUCUGAAAUUCCUGACCUCAGAUGAUUUAACCGUCUCAGCCUACCAAAGUUUUGGAAUGACAGGCAUGAGCCUCCAUGCCCAGCCUGCUAGCUGUGUAUUUGCUUUGGCUGGAUAUCUGUCGAGAUACUUACCCAGUUUUAAAAUCACUUAUGUAUUUUGUAAAUAU
rnacentral:lncRNA from 1 species